CUCCUACGGGAGGCAGCAGUGGGGAAUAUUGCGCAAUGGGCGAAAGCCUGACGCAGCGACGCCGCGUGGGGGAUGAAGGCCUUCGGGUUGUAAACCUCUUUCGGCAGGGACGAAGUUGACGUG
rnacentral:rRNA from 1 species